AUGGACCACAAACCUCUGCUGCAGAAGCGGCCUCUGGCCUACAACCUGGAGUCCGUCCAGGUCAACUAUGCAUGCUGCCUGCACAGCUAUGGCGCCAACCCUGCCAGCCCCCGCCAAGGCCCUACCCCUACCUCGUCACAGGGGUACCCACCCGCCACCCCAGGGUCUACAACAUCCACAGCCAGACCACCACCUGGUACCCUGCCAACUCCAUCAUGGUCAUGGGAAGCUGUCCCGUCUGCAGGGUCGGGGGUGCUGGAGGACUGCUUCAGCUCCCUGGGCAUUUUCUUGGUCAUCAUCCUGUUCCCCUUUGGGUUCAUCUGCCGUUUUGCCUUGAGGAAGCGAAGAUGCCCCAACUGCGGAGAGACCUUCGCUUAA
rnacentral:lncRNA from 1 species